AUGCAAAUUAUUUUGCCUUGUAAUAAAAAAACCUUGCAUUCAUGUACCGCUUGAUGCAUUGGUAAGAAUUCCUAAUAUAUUUGAUUUUUGGUUCUAGACAUUUUAAAUGUUAUAGAUUAUAAUUAAUGGUGUUGAUUGUCGGUCCUUGGGUUUUUGACAAUGGAGCCCAUCAAGAUGCAGCCAACUGUAGUUCAUAAUUUAAAAGGAGGCUGCUUGACAGGAUUGAGCAGAUCUUACAGUUGGGACAAUUAGGGGGCACAUACUGAAAAGGAUAAGAGAGAGAGCUUAGUAAAGUUGUAAAAUGUAGAGGCUGAUGGUAGAGAUAAAAGAACAAUGAACACCUAGCAUGACCUUCCCAGAGAUUUGCUUAUUC
rnacentral:lncRNA from 1 species